GAUGAAGAACGUAGCGAAAUGCGAUAAGUAGUGUGAAUUGCAGAAUUCAGUGAAUCAUCGAAUCUUUGAACGCACAUUGCGCCCCUUGGUAUCCCGAGGGGCAUGCCUGUUCGAGCGUCAUUUCACCACUCAAGCCUGGCUUGGUGUUGGGCGACGUCCCCUUUGGGGACGCGCCUCGAAACGCUCGGCGGCGUGGCACCGGCUUUAAGCGUAGCAGAAUCUUUCGCUUUGGAAGUCGGGGCCUCGUCUGCCGGAAGACCUACUCGCAAGGUUGACCUCGGAUCAGGCAGGGAUACCCGCUGAACUUAAGCAUAUCAAUAAGCGGAGGA
rnacentral:misc_RNA from 1 species